GCCGGUGUAGCUCAGUUGGUAGAGCGCAUUACUUGUAAUAAUGAUGUCGCGGGUUCGAUUCCUGUCACCGGCUCCG
rnacentral:tRNA from 1 species